rnacentral:pre_miRNA from 1 species
UUUCUACUCCCUCCGUCCGGAAAUACUUGUCAUCAAAAUGAAUAAAAGGGGAUGUAUCUAGAUGUAUUUUAGUUCUAGAUACAUCCCUUUUUGUCCAUUUUGAUGACAAGUAUUUUUGGAUGGAGUUAGUAUUAA